rnacentral:rRNA from 1 species
GAUGAACGCUGGCGGCGUGCUUAACACAUGCAAGUCGAACGGAAAGGCUCCUGCUUGCAGGGGUACUCGAGUGGCGAACGGGUGAGUAGCACGUGGGUGAUCUGCCCUGCACUUCGGGAUAAGCCUGGGAAACUGGGUCUAAUACCGGAUAGGACCACAUUUUGGGUGGUGUGGUGGAAAGUUUUUCGGUGUGGGAUGAGCUCGCGGCCUAUCAGCUUGUUGGUGGGGUAAUGGCCUACCAAGGCGUCGACGGGUAGCCGGCCUGAGAGGGUGUACGGCCACAUUGGGACUGAGAUACGGCCCAGACUCCUACGGGAGGCAGCAGUGGGGAAUAUUGCACAAUGGGCGCAAGCCUGAUGCAGCAACGCCGCGUGGGGGAUGACGGCCUUCGGGUUGUAAACUCCUUUCGCUAGGGACGAAGCGCAAGUGACGGUACCUGGAGAAGAAGCACCGGCUAACUACGUG